rnacentral:rRNA from 1 species
UACGUAGGCGGAAAAUUAAGUCAGUAGUGAAAUCCUGCAGCUUAACUGUAGAACUGUUAUUGAUACUGGUUUUCUUGAAUAUAGUUGAGGUAGGCGGAAUGUGUAAUGUAGUGGUGAAAUGCUUAGAUAUUACACAGAACACCGAUUGCGAAGGCAGCUUACUAAGCUAUGAUUGACGCUGAGGUACGAAAGCGUGGGGAGCGAACAGGAUUAGAUACCCUGGUAGUCC